ACGCUAGCUACAGGCUUAACACAUGCAAGUCGAGGGGAAACGGCAUUAAGUGCUUGCACUUUUUGGACGUCGACCGGCGCACGGGUGAGUAACGCGUAUCCAACCUUCCCAUGACUAAGGGAUAACCUGCCGAAAGGCAGACUAAUACCUUAUGGUCUUCACUGACGGCAUCAGAUGUGAAGUAAAGAUUUAUCGGUUAUGGAUGGGGAUGCGUCUGAUUAGCUUGUUGGCGGGGUAACGGCCCACCAAGGCAACGAUCAGUAGGGGUUCUGAGAGGAAGGUCCCCCACAUUGGAACUGAGACACGGUCCAAACUCCUACGGGAGGCAGCAGUGAGGAAUAUUGGUCAAUGGGCGAGAGCCUGAACCAGCCAAGUAGCGUGCAGGAUGACGGCCCUAUGGGUUGUAAACUGCUUUUGUAUGGGGAUAAAGUCAAUCACGUGUGAUUGUUUGCAGGUACCAUACGAAUAAGGACCGGCUAAUUCCGUGCCAGCAGCCGCGGUAAUACGGAAGGUCCGGGCGUUAUCCGGAUUUAUUGGGUUUAAAGGGAGCGUAGGCUGGAGAUUAAGUGUGUUGUGAAAUGUAGACGCUCAACGUCUGACUUGCAGCGCAUACUGGUUUCCUUGAGUACGCACAACGUUGGCGGAAUUCGUCGUGUAGCGGUGAAAUGCUUAGAUAUGACGAAGAACUCCGAUUGCGAAGGCAGCUGACGGGAGCGCAACUGACGCUGAAGCUCGAAGGUGCGGGUAUCGAACAGGAUUAGAUACCCUGGUAGUCCGCACAGUAAACGAUGGAUGCCCGCUGUUGGUACCUGGUAUCAGCGGCUAAGCGAAAGCAUUAAGCAUCCCACCUGGGGAGUACGCCGGCAACGGUGAAACUCAAAGGAAUUGACGGGGGCCCGCACAAGCGGAGGAAC
rnacentral:rRNA from 1 species